rnacentral:rRNA from 1 species
CUCAGGACGAACGCUGGCGGCGUGCUUAACACAUGCAAGUCGAACGGUGAAGCCCAGCUUGCUGGGUGGAUCAGUGGCGAACGGGUGAGUAACACGUGAGGAACCUGCCCCUGACUUCGGGAUAAGCCUUGGAAACGGGGUCUAAUACCGGAUAUGACACAUGGCCGCAUGGUGGUGUGUGGAAAGAUUUAUCGGUUGGGGAUGGUCUCGCGGCCUAUCAGCUUGUUGGUGGGGUAAUGGCCUACCAAGGCGACGACGGGUAGCCGGCCUGAGAGGGCGACCGGCCACACUGGGACUGAGACACGGCCCAGACUCCUACGGGAGGCAGCAGUGGGGAAUAUUGCACAAUGGGCGCAAGCCUGAUGCAGCGACGCCGCGUGAGGGAUGAAGGCCUUCGGGUUGUAAACCUCUUUCAGCAGGGAAGAAGCGAAAGUGACGGUACCUGCAGAAGAAGCGCCGGCUAACUACGUGCCAGCAGCCGCGGUAAUACGUAGGGCGCAAGCGUUGUCCGGAAUUAUUGGGCGUAAAGAGCUCGUAGGCGGUUUGUCGCGUCUGGUGUGAAAACCUCAGGCUCAACCUGGGGCGUGCAUCGGGUACGGGCAGACUAGAGUGCGGUAGGGGUGACUGGAAUUCCUGGUGUAGCGGUGGAAUGCGCAGAUAUCAGGAGGAACACCGAUGGCGAAGGCAGGUCACUGGGCCGCAACUGACGCUGAGGAGCGAAAGCAUGGGGAGCGAACAGGAUUAGAUACCCUGGUAGUCCAUGCCGUAAACGUUGGGCACUAGGUGUGGGGCUCAUUCCACGAGUUCCGUGCCGCAGCAAACGCAUUAAG